UACCAAAAAAAAUCUUGCUAAUCCCUGGUCUGUAUGGUCCCUUUACAGAUGAGAAACUUCGUUUUUUAGAAAGGUGAAAUAAUUACCCAAGGCCACACAGAGAGUAACAAGUGACAAGUCUUGGUUCCAGGACUAAUUUUCUACCCCUGGUCUUAAAACUAGCUCUGUUGUUUUACAUUAUGUUUAGAGGGAACUUUCCCUUUGACUUAAGCACAAACUUGACCCAUCCAUAGCUUGUUCUAAGGGGUUUGUGACGUGCCUUCUAUAUUGCCUACAGCCCUAUAUGUGCUCCAUCUUGCCUCCCCUUAUGCUUAUAUAAAGACAAGGGUGGGGAAUGGGGAGGCAUCAGGUUCUUUGCCCACUCCCGAGUUUCCAAAGCAGCAGAGGGUCAAGGGCUGGGAGAGGUCUGACAAUCCAAAGAAGAGCCUGCUGAGGCGGAAACGCGUUCUUUGUCUUGGAGCUUCCGGAUACCAGCUGUGGGGGAAGGGAGCGAACUCUGCGUUUUCUUUCCGGAGGAAAACAUGGCCGGAGGUUUCCAGGUAACCCUUGAAAGGAAAAUGAAUAAUCUUAGCAGAAACACAUAGGCAGAAAUCAUCUUCUAAAUAGCUUUGGACAACACCAGGAAUGAUGAUUGGCAUAAUUUCUACUCUGGAAGGCUUCACAGAGGUGCAUUCUUUAUAGUCUGAGCCACCAGAGAAGUCCAGG